UACGAGGGGGGCGAGCGUUGUUCGGAAUUAUUGGGCGUAAAGGGUGCGUAGGCGGUUCCGCAAGUCCUGUGUGAAAUCUUCGGGCUCAACUCGAAGUCUGCACGGGAAACUGCGGGGCUUGAGUGUGGGAGAGGUGAGUGGAAUUCCCGGUGUAGCGGUGAAAUUCGUAGAUAGUUGGGAAGAACACCGGUGGCGAAGGCGGCUAUCUGGACCGUAACUGGACGCUGAGGCGCGAAAGCGUGGGGAGCAAAC
rnacentral:rRNA from 1 species